AGCAGCCGCGGUAAUUCCAGCUCCAAUAGCGUAUAUUAAAGUUGUUGCAGUUAAAAAGCUCGUAGUUGAACUUCGGGAUUUGCCCAUUGGUCAGGCUUAACUGUCUGCACUGGUGUGACGAGUUCCUACCUUCUGAGGAAUCUCCAUGUCAUUCAGUUGGUGUGGGGGGAAAUCAGGACUGUUACUUUGAAAAAUUAGAGUGUUUAAAGCAGGCAUCCGUCUGAAUACAUUAGCAUGGAAUAAUAAAAUAGGACGGUUUGGUUCUAUUUUGUUGGUUUCUAGGAUCACCGUAAUGAUUAAUAGGGAUAGUUGGGGGCAUUAGUAUUCAAUUGUCAGAGGUGAAAUUCUUGGAUUUAUUGAAGACUAACUACUGCGAAAGCAUUUGCCAAGGAUGUUUUCAUUAAUCAAGAACGAAAGUUAGGGGAUCGAAGACGAUCAGAUACCGUCGUAGUCUUAACCAUAAACUAUGCCGACUAGGGAUCGGAUGAAGUUUAAUUUUUAANGUACUCGUUCGGCACCG
rnacentral:rRNA from 1 species